rnacentral:sRNA from 1 species
UUAGGAAAGAGUUGUCAGGCGGCGAAACGGACUGCGUGCCUGCACGCAAGGGCUGACAACCAGGCCAAUAUGAGUAAGCAGGGCGAUAACCCGGAUUACGAAUGUUGGCAGCAGCUGAGGGAGCGCCCGGGAGGCGCACAGCAGCAGCCUUUCGAG